GACAAAUUGGAAGAGUGAUUGAUAACCCGGCUGAAGCCCAGAGUGCUGCCCUGGAAGAGGGCCAUGCCUGGCGGAAGCGAAGCACAAGGAUGAAUAUCCUAAGCAGCCAAAGUCCCCUUCAUCCUUCGACCCUGAAUUCGGUGAUUCACAGGACUCAGCAUUGGUUCCAUGGACGUAUCUCUCGCGAGGAAUCUCACAGGAUCAUCAAGCAACAAGGCCUGCAUGAGGGUGAGAACACACACCCACUCCCACCCAAGGACUCAGAAUAACAUGGCUUUCUGAUCGGUACCAACCGACCAACAUCAAUUAGUUAUUGGACUUUACAAAGAUUUGCCGCUGCGGAUCAAACAGGACCACCUCCCUCUGCAUCAGCCAUUUAAAUUGGGGGAGGGAAGAGAUCCAGUGCAAGUGUGGGAAGAAACUGGAAUGAUGAUUUUGAUUAGGCCACGUAGGGUGAAAACCGCAGAGAAAAGAUUGGAAAUGAACUCUUGCCCUGGAAUAACCUUGACAAUUCAAACCGCGAUGUUUACUUUUUGUAUUGAUCACUUUUUUGCACUCCUUCUUCGUUGUCAAUGUUGUACUCAGCCUAUGGUAGGAGAGGAUGUGGCUUUGCAACCCAGAUGAGACAAAGAUUUUUUGAAUUGGCAGGCUUCGGCCUACAAAUGGGUCCCCCAAGUUUUCUUAGAUGGCAUCCUGCGCUCUGCAGGUUAUGACAGUGUGGAUUUGGCUCCUACAUUAUAGACACCCCAGUCCUUCCCAUUAUACUUGAAAAGCUUUUUUUUUUUUUUUAAGAAAUAAUAAAAUAAAAAGUGUCAACCGCAGUUGACACCAAGCAUGUUUUGUGGACGCAGUCAAGCUGCCACAGUCUGGUCAUCGUUGUUGUUGUGCUGACGUCUGGUCAUUUAUUAUUAGUGUGUCUCGUUCUCCAGUGCCGGAGACCUCAUUACUUUGGAAAACUCGCUGUUCCCCAGCGCAGCACAGCCGCAUGAGCUCAGCUUCAGACUGAUGUCCGCCAGCCUUCUUGGAACACAUUGGUAUUCAUUGUGGAUGCCACACAAUCCAUCCGGGGUGCCUCGUGCCUCCCAUUUUCACAGCCGCCCACUGUUGUAGAAUGAUCGCUGCCUUUACCCUCUGCAGUAGCCUCCGCCAUUUCAGUUCUCCCACAGGGGUGGGGUGGGGGUGGGGUUAAAGGAUCGAAAGAGAAAAAUGCCAACUUGUUGGCCUUGUGCUCUUGUCACUCUGAGCAUGUUUGGUGAUUAAAGAGAAGGAAACACUGCAGAGGCACAGGCAUAGGCUGGCUUUGAGUCUUCGCUUGAUGACCUCUGCACCCUACUGAAAACCCCCUAAGCCAGCCGGAGCAGGGUAUGAAGAGGUCCUGCCUCUGCUGGCUUAGGGUGAGAAGUACCUCACAGUGGUUGUGAACAUUGGAUAGUUUUUAGGAGGAUGAUGUUUGCCUCCUUUGAGAAAGGAGUCAGAAGGUGGCCGGAGUGAUCAUUGGUCCCCUGAGCUCCAUGGAGGACCCUCUGUUGUCCCCUUGAUGAUUCAUCAGGCAUGAGAGUAGCAGACAGGACUCCCUUGAGGAACACAGACAGCUGUGGUGAUCACAUUUAUUUCCCUUUCUUGACACCACACAGGAAGUCUGCUACACACCUGAGCUAGCCACUAGAUUGCCUGUCCCGACUGCGCGAAGUGCUCCCCAGGGAGCCACUUCUGAUUGCGCUGCGGUUGACGGCCCGGUGGAAGAUUAAUGACAGCGCUUUGUAACGCAGGCCAGCGGCACGCUGGUCCACGGUGUAGGAACACUGUAGUUCACAGACCACGCAACCGUGUUUCCACGAGAUGUUAUUACAACAAAUGAAGAAUUUUUUUCCUUUUUUUCAUUUUAAUCUUUUUUGACUUUUUUUUAGUAAAACAUUUUCUUACGCAUAAACGCUCAAUUGCAUUUCUCUUUCUUUCGCAGCUAGUUAAUCAUUCAGUUGACAAUGAGAGAAUUCUCAAGUUCAUACUUGGCAGCAGGCUCCCACUGAUCUUCCCCUUGAGACAAAUAGUGGACAUUUCAGUUUUACCAUAUUCAUUUCUUUCCGCUGACUUCGAGGUCAGACCUUUACAAACAGAUAACAAACAGCCCUAGGAUUUCUUUCUCCAGUUUACACAGACCAGUCCCCACAGUGCAUAACCCUUUACUCUUCUGCCUCUACAGUAGACAGCUAAGAUGUGUAUCUCAUAUUUAUAAGUACGCAUUCUAUUUAAGCGGAAGUAUAGGCUUGACUCUGGUUCACAAUUUUGUACGUAGCUGGUUUGACGUAGUAUUUUGUACUUCCCUUGCUGAAGUGAAUUGUUGAAGGCUGCAAGCCACCCGCCUUGAGUGCAGCAGACUUCAGUGACCCCGAGCUCGCUCACCAGCCUUUGCACAGGUAGCUGGGAAUUCCACCAGAAACAGCUGGUCCCUAGGUUAGCGGGCACCCAGCCGCCCCUAACCGGAGACUGAAGGACAAUUGACUUUUAUUUUUGUAUUUAAUUGACAUGAAUGUAAGGGGACAGCUCAGGGUUGUUUGGAGCCUGUUUGACUUUGCAAUCUCUGCCUGUGAUUUUCUUUUCUUAAGAACAACUCCGUGUAACCACCUGGACUAAGUUGAGAAGGAAAAUGCCAAAUGCUUUGGGUUUUUAGCGUUUUAAUACGUAGGCUCUGUUAUAUUAUUAGGUGUUAAGAGUUUCCAAACGUGUUUUCUUUUUUCUUUUUUUGUUUGCUUAAACUUUGAAGAAAUAUGUGCCUCAGCUUAGAUGUUUUGUCUUCUCCUUUCUGCACUUAAAUACCUGACAGCCUGUCCGAUCACUGUGCCUCCGAGGGCGCUACUAGCUCAUCGUAGAUUUGUGAUAUCAUAGUGUAAACUGCAGUGACCGGAAAAUGACCUGACAUGUAAACGUUUUCAGGGAAUGCAGAGGGUGUUAAUUGAUAGACAAAACCUUUAUCCCGCGUGCUUUGCUUCACUCUGUGCUAUAUAGCUCUUUGGCUCGUGAACCUAAUUGUAAACUUUCAGGUAUUUUUGUACAAAUAAGGGACUGAUGUUCUGUUUCUUGUUAUUAGAAAUAAACAUUAAUAAAGUGUU
rnacentral:lncRNA from 1 species